rnacentral:rRNA from 1 species
AACGUACGCUGGCGGCACGCCUAAUACAUGCAAGUCGAACGAAGUAGCAAUACUUAGUGGCGCAAGGGUGAGUAUCACGUGAAUAAUCUGCCCUCGAGAUCGGGAUAACAUGGUGAAAACUAUGCUAAUACCGGAUAAGACCACAUUUCAAAAGAAAUGCGGUAAAAGGAGUCUCAAUCUUCACUCGAGGAUGAGUUCGCGCAACAUUAGCUUGUUGGUGAGAUAAAAGCUCACCAAGGCUACGAUGUUUAGCCGGCCUGAGAGGGUGAACGGCCACACUGGAACUGAGACACGGUCCAGACUCCUACGGGAGGCAGCAGUGGGGAAUAUUGCGCAAUGGGCGAAAGCCUGACGCAGCAACGCCGUGUGAGCGAUG